rnacentral:pre_miRNA from 1 species
UAUAAUGUUUGACUAUUCGUCUUAUUUGAAAUAUUUUGGUGAUUAAUAUUUUAUUAUUGUUAGAUGAUAAAACAUGAAUAAUACUUUAUACAUGACUAUUUUUAAAUUUUUCAUAAUUCUUUUAAAUAAGACGAAUAAUAAAAAGUUGGACACAGA